AGUUUUAUAGUUUAAUAAAAAUGUUAAUUUUGUAAAUUAAAGAUAAUAUUAUAUAAUUUAAAGCUA
rnacentral:tRNA from 1 species